GAUGAACGCUGGCGGCGUGCUUAACACAUGCAAGUCGAACGGAAAGGCCCAAGCUUGCUUGGGUACUCGGGUGGCGAACGGGUGAGUAACACGUGGGUGAUCUGCCCUGCACUUCGGGAUAAGCCUGGGAAACUGGGUCUAAUACCGGAUAGGACCACUUCUUGGAUGUUGUGGUGGAAAGUUUUUUCGGUGUGGGAUGAGCUCGCGGCCUAUCAGCUUGUUGGUGGGGUAAUGGCCUACCAAGGCGUCGACGGGUAGCCGGCCUGAGAGGGUGUACGGCCACAUUGGGACUGAGAUACGGCCCAGACUCCGACGGGAGGCAGCAGUGGGGAAUAUUGCACAAUGGGCGCAAGCCUGAUGCAGCGACGCCGCGUGGGGGAUGACGGCCUUCGGGUUGUAAACUCCUUUCGCUAGGGACGAAGCGUUUUGUGACGGUACCUGGAGAAGAAGCACCGGCUAACUACGUG
rnacentral:rRNA from 1 species